GACGAACCGUGCGAACGUUGUUCGGAAUCACUGGGCUUAAAGGGCGCGUAGGCGGCCGUUCAAGUCUGGGGUGAAAGCCCCCGGCUCAACCGGGGAAUUGCCUGGGAUACUGGACGGCUCGAGGGAGGUAGGGGCACGCGGAACGGCCAGUGGAGCGGUGAAAUGCGUUGAUAUUGGCAGGAACGCCGGUGGCGAAAGCGGCGUGCUGGAUCUCUCCUGACGCUGAGGCGCGAAAGCUAGGGGAGCAAACGGG
rnacentral:rRNA from 1 species